UAAAAUUAGAUUUAUAAUGGGCAUUCGUCAAGAAUUAGUUACACUCACUUUGUGAUUGAGUUUGAUUUUGUAGGAUCCCAUAUAAACGAGGGAUUGUUGUAUGGAUUUGCAAACUGAAUUGUAACUUGUAGUAACGAUGAAGUCCCUUGCUUGCUUGAUGGCGGUCUUAGCGGUGGUCAUGUUAUCCGCCUCAGCUUUUCGUGGGGAGGUUUCAACGCAUCAACUGCAGGGCAUCUACUGUGACUACUCCGAACAAUGUGUUCCAAAUUGCAAAAUGUGCCCAACUCUUACGCCCUAUGCGCUCUGCUUCGAGCACAUCUGCUACUGUCAACCUGCAGUGGAUGAUAGACGGCAUCGUGGACUACCCGGCUAUCUGCCACCUAAUUAAAUCAAUGAUGGGUUUUUUAAUUCGUAGGACGCUCCAAACAAAUGUCGUUCGGUUCUCUAAUAACCAAUAAAUGGCAAUUCAUUAAAAGUAAAAUCUUAAUACAAAAAUUCAUCACAUAAAA